rnacentral:rRNA from 1 species
GCACACGGCCAUACCACCUUGAAUGUCCCUGAUCUCAUCUGAUCUCAGAAGUUAAGUAGGGUCAGGCCUGGUUAGUACUUGGAUGAGAGACCACCUGGGAAUAUGGGGUGCUGUAGGCUUAAA